rnacentral:rRNA from 1 species
GACGAACGCUGGCGGCGUGCCUAAUACAUGCAAGUCGAACGCAGUGGGGACGGGUGAGUAACACGUGGGUAACCUCCCAUCAGAGGGGAUAACACUUGGCAACAGGUGCUAAACCGAUAGUGAUGGAUGGACCCGCGGUGCAUUAGGUAGUGGGUGGGGUAACGGCUCACCAAGGCCACGAUGAAUAGCUGGCCUGAGAGGGUGAUCGGCCACACUGGGACUGAGACACGGCCCAGACUCCUACGGGAGGCAGCAGUAGGGAAUCUUCGGCAAUGGACGAAAGUCUGACCGAGCAAUGCCGCGUGAGUGAAGAAGGUUUUCGGGUCGUAAAGCUCUGUUGUUAGAGAAGCGGUAUCUAACCAGAAAGCAACGGCUAACUACGUGCCAGCAGCCGCGGUAAUAC